rnacentral:rRNA from 1 species
CGAACGCUGGCGGCGUGCUUAAACAUGCAAGUCGAACGGAAAGGCCCUUUCGGGGGUACUCGAGUGGCGAACGGGUGAGUAACACGUGGGUGAUCUGCCCUGCACUUCGGGAUAAGCUUGGGAAACUGGGUCUAAUACCGGAUAGGACUACGAAUCGCAUGGUUUGUGGUGGAAAGCUUUUGCGGUGUGGGAUGGGCCCGCGGCCUAUCAGCUUGUUGGUGGGGUGAUGGCCUACCAAGGCGACGACGGGUAGCCGGCCUGAGAGGGUGUCCGGCCACACUGGGACUGAGAUACGGCCCAGACUCCUACGGGAGGCAGCAGUGGGGAAUAUUGCACAAUGGGCGCAAGCCUGAUGCAGCGACGCCGCGUGGGGGAUGACGGCCUUCGGGUUGUAAACCUCUUUCACCAUCGGCGAAGCCCAUGAUUUUUGUUGUGGGUGACGGUAGGUGGAGAAGACGCACCGGCCAACUACGUGCCAGCAGCCGCGGUAAUACGUAGGGUGCGAGCGUUGUCCGGAAUUACUGGGCGUAAAGAGCUCGUAGGUGGUUUGU